GGAAAUCACUCCGGGAUACUAUGAUGAUGUCAUCACUGAUGGACUAAAACCAGAUCGUGAGACAGAAGACAGAACUAUGAGCUAUGAUGAUGUCAUGAUGAGUGGACAGAACUCUGAUAUUAAAAAAGUGGACAAACCAGAGCACUAUGAUGAUGUCAUCAUUAUUGGACAGAACGUUCCAGGUUUAACAGAGGGAGAUCAGGAGGAGUAUGAUGAUGUGAAGAACAGCAAUGAAGAUGAGAGAAGCCUGUUGG